AUUGAACGCUGGCGGCAUGCUUUACACAUGCAAGUCGAACGGUAACAGGCCGCAAGGUGCUGACGAGUGGCGAACGGGUGAGUAAUGCAUCGGAACGUGCCCAGUCGUGGGGGAUAACGCAGCGAAAGCUGCGCUAAUACCGCAUACGAUCUCUGGAUGAAAGCGGGGGACCGAAAGGCCUCGCGCGAUUGGAGCGGCCGAUGUCAGAUUAGGUAGUUGGUGGGGUAAAGGCCCACCAAGCCAACGAUCUGUAGCUGGUCUGAGAGGACGACCAGCCACACUGGGACUGAGACACGGCCCAGACUCCUACGGGAGGCAGCAGUGGAGAAUUUUGGACAAUGGGCGCAAGCCUGAUCCAGCAAUGCCGCGUGCAGGAAGAAGGCCUUCGGGUUGUAAACUGCUUUUGUACGGAACGAAACGGUCCGGGUUAAUACCCUGGGCUAAUGACGGUACCGUAAGAAUAAGCACCGGCUAACUACGUGCCAGCAGCCGCAGUAAAAC
rnacentral:rRNA from 1 species